rnacentral:rRNA from 1 species
UACAGAGGUCUCAAGCGUUGUUCGGAUUCAUUGGGCGUAAAGGGUGCGUAGGCGGCGCGGUAAGUCGGGUGUGAAAUUUCGGGGCUUAACUCCGAAACUGCAUUCGAUACUGCCGUGCUUGAGGACUGGAGAGGAGACUGGAAUUUACGGUGUAGCAGUGAAAUGCGUAGAGAUCGUAAGGAAGACCAGUGGCGAAGGCGGGUCUCUGGACAGUUCCUGACGCUGAGGCACGAAGGCCAGGGGAGCAAACGGG